CCCGCCUGAACCAAGCGGAAGUGACGUCGUGUAGACUCAUUUUACAUGAAACUGAAGCUGAUUCGUCAAAAAAGGCCAUGUGAGUGACAUUUAUGAGACUGAGUUCAGCACAGCAGUCCAGAAGGUGGCAGCAGGAGGCCGGUGCCGCAGUGACCACAGAGGUAAAAGCCUCCGACCUGCUGAUUGACAUGAACAUGACAUGUCCUCAGCAGCACAGUCGCCCACAGUCAGGGCGGAAACAAUCACGACUCCCUCUGAAGUGCAGCAAAAAGUGAAAUUGCUCAGUUUUUUUCUGCACUUCUAAGGCAGCAGCAGCCAUCCAGGGCAGAGGGUUGUCAUUUUCCAGCUUGUGAGUGGGUGGCAGUCGGCUGCGGUUUGUCACACAGUGGACCUGGAGGAGACGUUCAGGGGUGUGAUGGUCCGUGUCUUUGGACCCAGACAAGGGAGGAAGACAUGCAGCCGUGGGGCCAAAGAGCUCUGUGGUCACACAUUCCUGAACUCCUCCAGCGCUGCCUACAGCCGUGACCAAAAUAUCAGAUCCAGUCAUGCAAACACUGCGGUCACAACAUCACGCUUCCAACCACACGUAUAGAUGUUUAUGUUGUGUUCCAGACGACAACUGCUGUGGCAGCACAGGUGACUUGUGAAACACCUUACAAGUCCUGGACUUAAUCCCAGGAUGACAAUCCAGUUUAUCUGGCUGUCCUCCAUGGAUACAUCUCUUUUUAACUCAGCACAGGAAGUGAUUUAGGUUAUGUUUUUUGAGUGAAAAUUGAAACGCCUCCACUCCUAUGCUUCACUGUAUGUUCCCAAACAAAUGCACGUGACCACUGACAGACAACAGCAUGCAUUAUAUAUAUAUAUAUAUGUUUCACUUCACUAAAAGUAGAAAUAUCCUCCUAGAUUAUCACUCUGGUAGUGGUGCUGAAUUUAGUCUGGGUUAAACAUGUUUAGGAAUAUGAUAUUAAAUGUUUAAAAUAAGAAUAAUAUUACCUGUACACUGUUCUUCAGAUUACUCAUCCUGGAUGCCUACAAUGAAAGUAUAGAGAGAAACUGAAGUUGCUGUUUGGGUCUGUGUUGUCCUGCUUUUUGAAUUUCUCCCUAUAAAACACUUUUUGAGAAGCUUAA